UGGAUGGUGAGAUAGAAGAGCCUCUACAGAGCUUCUGUGGAUGACAUCCACAGAAUUCAAAUGUAUGCUAAAUUGAAUCAUUAAUAUUCAUACACCAGUGUUACUGCCAAAAGAAAUAAUUUUUACAACAAAUUUAGCUUUCUGCGCUCUGAGCUGUCAAGUCUCUACAGGAUUUUGAAGCUCACAAGCUUCUUUUAAGCUCAAACUGAAUCUAGAAAACAAAACCAUCUUUUAACUUUUAUGAACAUCCAUUGUUCUACCCUUUCUUUUUCCUUUUCCAGACACAAUAAUCCUGUGGAUUCAGCUACCAGUUUUUUUCAGCUUACAACGUUUAUGAAGAGACUAUAA
rnacentral:lncRNA from 1 species